GGAGACGUGGCUGAGCUGGUCGAAGGCACCUCACUGCUAACGAGGCAAGGGUUUACGCCCUUCAUGAGUUCGAAUCUCAUCGUCUCCGCAA
rnacentral:tRNA from 1 species